AGAAGGAGCUUGCUCCUUUGACGUUAGCGGCGGACGGGUGAGUAACACGUGGGCAACCUACCUUAUAGUUUGGGAUAACUCCGGGAAACCGGGGCUAAUACCGAAUAAUCUGUUUCACCUCAUGGUGAAAUAUUGAAAGACGGUUUCGGCUGUCGCUAUAGGAUGGGCCCGCGGCGCAUUAGCUAGUUGGUGAGGUAACGGCUCACCAAGGCGACGAUGCGUAGCCGACCUGAGAGGGUGAUCGGCCACACUGGGACUGAGACACGGCCCAGACUCCUACGGGAGGCAGCAGUAGGGAAUCUUCCACAAUGGGCGAAAGCCUGAUGGAGCAACGCCGCGUGAGUGAAGAAGGAUUUCGGUUCGUAAAACUCUGUUGUAAGGGAAGAACAAGUACAGUAGUAACUGGCUGUACCUUGACGGUACCUUAUUAGAAAGCCACGGCUAACUACGUGCCCGCACCCGCGGUAAUACGUAGGUGGCAAGCGUUGUCCGGAAUUAUUGGGCGUAAAGCGCGCGCAGGUGGUUUCUUAAGUCUGAUGUGAAAGCCCACGGCUCAACCGUGGAGGGUCAUUGGAAACUGGGAGACUUGAGUGCAGAAGAGGAUAGUGGAAUUCCAAGUGUAGCGGUGAAAUGCGUAGAGAUUUGGAGGAACACCAGUGGCGAAAGCGACUAUCUGGUCUGUAACUGACACUGACGCGCGAAAGCGUGGGGA
rnacentral:rRNA from 1 species